AGGUACGAUCAUACCAGCACUAAUGCACUGAUCCCAUCAGAACUCCGUAGUUGCGCGUGCUUGGGCGAGAGUAGUACUAUGAUGGGUGACCUCCUAAGAAGUCCUCAUGUUGCACCCC
rnacentral:rRNA from 1 species